rnacentral:lncRNA from 1 species
CCUUCUCAACAAUUUUCUCUUUCUGUGGCGGAGCUAAAAUUUUCAUUAAGAGGGUUCAGAAGUAAACAUACGAACUAGUCGAAAGGGGUUCAACAUCUACUGUAUAUAAAUAAAAAAUAUUUUUAAUCAUGUAAAAAUAAUAUAAUUUUUUGUCGAAGAAGGUUCAUCUUGGAUUCAAAUAAACCCCCUGGACGAAAGGUGGUUCGGUCCCUGGCCUCUUUCCUUCGUUCGAGAUUGACUUUUUUAUUUUGCAAAUCACUUUCACAAUUAAAAAUUUUCAUGUUUUUUUUAAUCAAAAUAUGAACUUGAAUUGAAAGUG